rnacentral:rRNA from 1 species
UACGAAGGGGGCGAGCGUUGUUCGGAUUUACUGGGCGUAAAGGGCGCGUAGGCGCUUGUCAGUCAGGCGUGAAAGCCCCGGGCUCAACCUGGGAACGGCGCUUGGGGCGGCGAGGCUGGAGUUCGGGAGAGGAGAGUGGAAUUCCGCGUGUAGCAGUGAAAUGCGUAGAUAUGCGGAGGAACACCGAUGGCCGAAGGCAGCCCCCCCUGGGCUAACACUGACGCUCAGGCACGAAAGCGUGGGAAGCAAACAGG